CCCCGCAAGGGGUAAGUAGAGUGGCAAACGGGUGAGUAACACGUGGGUGACCUGCCUUAGAGUGGGGGAUAACGUCCCGAAAGGGACGCUAAUACCGCAUAACAUCCUGCCUUUGAAGAGGUGGAGAUCAAAGCCGGGGACCGCAAGGCCUGGCGCUUAAAGAGGGGCCCGCGCCUGAUUAGCUAGUUGGUGAGGUAAUGGCUCACCAAGGCAACGAUCAGUAUCCGGCCUGAGAGGGCGGACGGACACACUGGGACUGAGACACGGCCCAGACUCCUACGGGAGGCAGCAGUGGGGAAUUGUUCGCAAUGGGCGCAAGCCUGACGACGCAACGCCGCGUGGAGGAUGAAGACCUUCGGGUCGUAAACUCCUUUCGAUCGAGACGAACAGCCAUCGGGUGAAUAAUCCGGAGGUUUGACGGUACCGAGAGAAGAAGCCCCGGCUAACUCCGCGCCAGCAGCCGCGGUAAUACGGGGGGGGCAAGCGUUGUUCGGAAUUACUGGGCGUAAAGGGCUCGUAGGUUGCCAACUAAGUCAGACGUGAAAUCCCUCGGCUUAACCGGGGAACUGCGUCUGAUACUGGAUGGCUUGAGUUCGGGAGAGGGAUGCGGAAUUCCAGGUGUAGCGGUGAAAUGCGUAGAUAUCUGGAGGAACACCGGUGGCGAAGGCGGCAUCCUGGACCGACACUGACACUGAGGAGCGAAAGCCAGGGGAGCAAACGGGAUUAGAUACCCCGGUAGUCCUGGCCCUAAACGAUGAAUGCUUGGUGUGGCGGGUAUCGAUCCCUGCCGUGCCG
rnacentral:rRNA from 1 species